UGCCGUGCCACACGGCACGAAACAAACGAUAUAUCAGCCUCCAACCGCGACAAUUUUGACAGUAAAGCGAUCAGUAGGUGUCAAAAGCUUUGUGGGUCUGCAGACCCUGCAACAGGGCGCAUUACAGACGAAAACAGAGGUUUGUUUACAAACAAACGAAAACAGAGCAAUAAAAUGGGUAGCAAACCGGAGCAAAAAAGAUACGUAAAACUGUGCUUCUUCGACUUCAGCAUGAAUAAUGACGCGUAUGUUAUCCAUGGAACCAUCUCUCGCUCCUACAUGCGGUUUUUACUAUAAACCAUUCACCGACGGACUCGGCGUCGCCCCAUCCCUUCGCGAC